CAACAGCCCCUCGUACAUCCCACUGGGGAGGGGUCUAGAAUUCACACCUCUGUGGGAAUCUCAACUGAAGCGAUGGGGGAACCGAAUUAUUUGCCCCCGGUCCUUGCCGAAGUUGACUCCAGGGGAUGUUAAUUCCCAGGCGGAACGCGGCAGCCCGACCCGUGUGCAGACAGGGAAGGCUCCGGCGGGCGGAGCCACGGGCCGGUGGGCGGAAGAUGGGCAGGUGCCCAGAAACGGGGCGUGGCGAGGAAAUGCGGGUGCGUGGGACGCUAAGACCGUCUACCGCAGGUAGCUGGGGCCACUGAGACUUGUCCCUUAGAAAUGUGGAAUCAGGAAGCCGGUGGAAGCUUGGAGUUGCAGGUGGGCUGGGGCACCGGGGCAAGAAAAGCAGAGAGUUGUGGCUGGAGUAGUUGUGGCAGCCUUUUGCAGGCUGAAGAUGUGCAGAGCGGGGAUACUUGCGGAGGGCUACAACAUACCAAGGACGGCGCGAGGUGCAGGUCUCGCUCCCUCGGAGCCCACGCUCUGCAGGGUGCGGGCCGGUGGGCGGGAGCAUUAGAUAAGUCAACGAGGUACCACAGGUGCAGAUGAGGAAACUGAGGCACACUGAGGUCAAGGAGGCUCAUCGGUGUGAUACAGCCGGUAAACGGCAGAGGCAAGAUUGGAACCCGGCCCCUGAUCUUUCUGCAGUUCUCACCACCACCUAAGAUGCAGUAGCAUUACCUGCUGGGGUCACCCCUCAGCCCCCCCGCGAGUGAGUCAGGAAACGGUGCCGUGAGCUCAUCCCUGCAGCAGGAGUUGGCUUCACACAGCAAAGACUUUUAUGCGAGUGUGCAGGCCGGCAGGUGCGCAUUUGACGCUCGGUGGGAAGUAUUUUCCAAGCAACGGGAGACAGCAGACGCAGACGGGGCCCAAUUACCGCUGCUCAUGACUGAUCACGCCACGCGCGCGUGUGCCCGAGCCUGGGCCCCGGACUCGGGCACCCAGCAGGGGCUGUGCACACGCCAGCCACUCCGUCAAGGCUGGCGGAAGGAAGGACGGAGAGAGCAAAAGAGACAGAAACGGGAAUUCUAAAGAUUCUGCAGUGCCACCCCCAGCAGAGCCAUCUCUCUGGACCCGUCAAUCUACUGCUCAAAGACUUUCAAUGGCUCCCUAGUACCUUUGCGUCCUGUCUUACAGGGUCCCGCAAGAUCUGCACGUGAGGCCGUGUCUGAGGGAUUGCAAUGCUCAGAAAGUUUCGUAGCCUUGCCCUUGCCCUCACUCGCGCUCUUCCCAAUCCAGGACUGCUCCAUCCUUUCUCUUCUUGGACCUUCUUCAGCGGCCAGCUCAAACUCCUCUGUUCCUUGCAACCACUAGUUCCCGCUGCCCCCUAAGAGAGUAUUGUUCCCUCUUUGGGGUAUCUCUUGUACCUUAUAUACAGACAUCCCUUGGCAUCCAUGGGGGAUUGGUCCCCGGAACCCCUGUGGAUACCAAAAUAACGGAUGCUCAAGUCCCUGAUACAAAAUGUCUCAGUAUUUGCUUGUAACCUGCGCAAUCCUCCGUACAUUUCAAAUCACCUCUAGGUUACUUACCAUGCCCAAUACAAUGUAGAUGCUGUGUAAAUAGUUGUUAUACUCUAUCGUUUAGGGAAUAAGGACAGGAAAAAAAAAAAAGUCUGUGCAUGUUCAGUACAGAUGUAACUCAUUUAUGU